rnacentral:lncRNA from 1 species
AUUACUGUGACGAUUGUUGGUCUCCAGGUGCUGUCUCUGUACUAUCUUCCUUUAUUCUUCUCCUAGCUCGCAUUUUUGUUUCUUGGAAAGGGACUAUGUGGGGAUUGGAGGAAAUAAAUAGGAAAGGAUUAAUAAUUUGAUAUCUCCUAUUGAUGCAUUCCAAGCUGGGUUUGGUAAGACAAAUUCUUUGAGAUCCUUUGUGUUUUGUUUUUCUGGAGUAGAAAUGCGCCAAUAGUAGUAUAUUGUACAGUCAAUAUUUCUGAGCAUGUUAGGAAAUCUUUGGCUAUGGAAUUAUCACAUCCUAGGACCUAAUAUAUUUAUUUUGCACCUGUGUAGCUAUAUGUGAAUAAAUACUCAUCUAGAUGCCAUAUAGUCCCAUUCACUCUUUAUACACAUUCUUAAAGAACAUUCAAUACCAAUGGAUGGAAUGGUGAGUUAGAUCUAUAGGUACCAUGAUAUAUUCUUUCCCUUGAGGAAGUGCUUUAUGUUAAGGGAUAUGCUGAAAGGAAUAGUAGAAUGAGAAUGACAAGUAUAUUUUGAUUAAGGAGAUCUAGUUACUAAAACUUGUCAGCCCUUUUAGGACCUUCCUUUUUGAUGAGUAGAUGUUAUUUUAUUGGCAAAAAGUGAUUUCGAAUACAAGAGCCAAGAGGUAUAUUAGAAUGAAAUACACAGUGUUUUUAGGAAUUAUUGACUGCAUAAACACUAGAUAUUCGAGUCAGUUGCAGUAACAGUCUUCCCAACUUGGACAUGUUAAAAAAAACUCGUAGCUGAGCGUAAGUCCUAGCUGACAAAAUUCCAUCACAUCAAAGUCAGGAAUUGUUGAUCGCAUAAUGCUAGAUUUUCUAAGUCAGUUGCAGUAAACAACUUCCCCAAAUCUUCUCCACUUGGACCUGUUUAAAAAAAAUUCUUACCAACUGAGCUUAAACUCUAGCUGACAAAACUCCAUCAGAUUACAGUCAUGCAUUUCUUUUGCCUGUCACUUUGUUUAUAAUCAGAUAUAAGAUUUGAGAUCUGGAAAUAUUGUUAGUUUGAUUUCAUGAUUUACUUGUAUGAUUGUUCUUUGUUUACUAGAUGGCUGUUUUUGCAUUCAACUUAUCUUACGCUGGUAUAGUGUUCGGGUUUUACCUUUCGGUAUGAGAAAUAAGGAGCAUUGACCCCAGCUAGUACUAUCCCAAUGCCCUGGUGCAUGUGGUACUAAUGAAAUCUCCUGCAUCCAUCCUAGAACUAAAUGGCAUAUC